UAUUGGACAAUGGGCGAAAGCCUGAUCCAGCCAUGCCGCGUGUGUGAAGAAAGUCUUCGGAUUGUAAAGCACUUUAAGUUGGGAGGAAGGGCAUUAACCUAAUACGUUAGUGUUUUGACGUUACCGACAGAAUAAGCACCGGCUAACUCUGUGCCAGCAGCCGCGGUAAUACAGAGGGUGCAAGCGUUAAUCGGAAUUACUGGGCGUAAAGCGCGCGUAGGUGGUUUGUUAAGUUGGAUGUGAAAUCCCCGGGCUCAACCUGGGAACUGCAUUCAAAACUGACUGACUAGAGUAUGGUAGAGGGUGGUGGAAUUUCCUGUGUAGCGGUGAAAUGCGUAGAUAUAGGAAGGAACACCAGUGGCGAAGGCGACCACCUGGACUAAUACUGACACUGAGGUGCGAAA
rnacentral:rRNA from 1 species